GCCUGGACACCAGAGGAGAUGUGCUGAAUUUCCAGUGAACUGUCAGACAUAGCGUCACAAGGAGGGCCUGCAAUUUUCGAAGUACUGUCCCAAAUUGUAUAACAGUAAAGGCAGACUUUGAGAGAAACCAGAAGUCUCUUGCUCCACAGCAUAAAACUGAAAUGGCAAGGGGCCAAGUAUAAAGGGACUGGCCAGGGACAGACAUGCGCUAUGACUGGAGAACAGAUGCGGUUUCGCGGACAUGUGAAGAGACUCUAUGAGAACAACCUGCUGGAAAGGUGGUCAAAUCUAUUAAAGUCUUCAAAGAUAACCGCUGAAUGUUGCCACCAGAAGACCCAGACCACUGUGCGAGAGACUGUAACACGACAAGGCUGAAAAGGAGAUCCACUCGACUUAUUUUUCACGUAUCCCAGAGACUGCACAGAGGAUGAGGCAUGGCUUGAGGCAGAGGCGGAGGAGACUCCAGAUUCAGGUAAAUGCAGCAAUCCCGCAACCAGCAGAGGGCCAGUUGCAUAAAUGGAAACCAGGAGACUGGGUGCUGAUAUAAGUCCGCCACUUGAGACGGAGGCCCAGGGAGAGAGUGUCGCUUCCCUCACAGACGAGGAACAAAGCAGAAGAAAGACGACAGCUCUCACUGAGGUGUAAAACCAUACCAACAACCAACAGCUGUUGCAGAUAAAGGAAGAAACGGCGAGAAAGAGACAGAAGGAACUAAAAAAAAAAAAAAAAAAAAGAGAAGAAAGACCAGUACCAACUCAUCAUAAACCAACCCGACAGUAAAAUGGACAUCAUUUAUUUUAUCUUAUAAUUAUUUAACAGAGCGCACAGACCAAGUGAGUUCAAAACUGACUGUAGAAAAUAUCCAAAUUCAAGAUCAUUGUGCAUGCAAUGCUCCAACCACAUGUAGAAUUCCUAGCUCUGCCUGCUAGCUUCAAUGACACAGAAUGCUGGCCAGUAAGUAAUCCAGAAUAUACUUUUUGCGUCAUGGCAGGAAUGUGGAUAGCACCGUGGAAAACUCAAACCCAAAUAAUGUUCUUAGAAUUUAAAUCUGAAUUAUUGUUCAAAGCCUAUAUUUUCAUCUAAAUCCUCAGCCCGCAACUGCUCAGUCGCUUGGCAUCCUCUGCCAGUGCAUCCUAUGUCAAAUGUUUCUUCUGUGUACAGGAUCCUAGCCAAAUAAUUACAGCAAAUGCUUAUUUAAAUCAAACAAAAACUGUUUCUUUUAACAGACAGUCUGCACUGCCAGAGAAGGUGUAUUUAGUCUGUGGGGACCAGUGUUACAGCUGCUUACCAAGAGAAUCCCACAGUCGUUUGUUCAUGUUUUUGAUUGCCAUUUCUGUUAUCACUUGUAAGAUUGGUCUGAUUCGCAAACAAUGCACUUAGGCCAUUGUUACCGCUAUGCAAAUUGACCUCUACCCUAUCUCAGACUGGAUUCCACCAUAUGAUGACGUUGAUAAUAUAUCACACAACUGAAGUACCCUCAAUCGUCAACUUCGGACAGAGUGGGAUUUCCCCCACCUUAUAAAGUGUUAUUGAUCCAUAAUGAUCAAAAUGACGGAUUGUAAGGGAAAUGUAACAUGUGACCAUAAUAUAAUCAUGUUUAUGUAUACUUGGAUUGAUCAUCAUUGAAUCUCUAACAAAUGUAACUUUGAUGUUGCUGUUUCCUGUAGAACUGAGUGAGUGUUGGCCUGAUUACUCCAGUCACAGUAAUCUAAUUAGUCCGGACACAGUGUGAUAGUAAUUAGCUAUUCAGGCAUUAUGAUUGAUGUAAGGAACUACUUUGAUGUUCCUUACACAAACUCACCUAACAAAGACCUUACAGCACGGGGGAUUUGUGGUGGUUGUAGACAAUAAGAAGGGAUCUUGGAGACAGAUGUUACACUCCAGGGGUCUGAGAGCAGGGGACAGGAUACCCGUCACCUAUUUCCUUUAUAUCAAAGAGGCUGAUCAAUAAGUUUGUUCCUCUCUAGGAGGAGCUUGAAGAUGUUUGAAGUCCUGCUUCUCCUGUGUCAUUAACUGUUUAACAACCCCCUCCCGAAUGGGUGGGGUUAGCCAAAUGUAUAAAUACCAACCACUGUCUUCCAUCUGGGUGCAUAUGACAAACUCAACUCUGUUGUAUGUACCAUGCUCGAGCAUUAAAUGUGUGACAAUACUGUAAGAGAA